rnacentral:rRNA from 1 species
UACAGAGGUCCCAAGCGUUGUUCGGAUUCACUGGGCGUAAAGGGUGCGCAGGUGGGCUGUCAAGUUUGAUGUGAAAGCCCCGGGCUUAACCCGGGAAUGGCAUUGAAUACUGAUGGUCUGGAGGAUUGGAGGGGGGACUGGAAUUCUUGGUGUAGCAGUGAAAUGCGUAGAUAUCAAGAGGAACACCAGUGGCGAAGGCGACGUGCUGGGUUGCACCUGACGCUGAGAUGCGAAAGUGUGGGGAGCAAACGGG